AUGCCGUGAUGAGGACAUUUUCUCAGUAAUUUCUUAAACCUCUCCCAUGCUUCGUACAAUGAUUCCCAAUCAGUCUGGAAGAAAUUAUUAAUCUCUCCCCUCAAUCU